GGAGUUAAUUUUGAUCCAUCAAUGUGAAGAAGUUAGCACACAAUCAGUUGCUUAAUCUUACAUAAUCUAGAUUAGUGCAAUAUUAUUUCUUCUAAUUUAAGUUUUUAUAUCUCAAAAUUAGCAAUAUUUUAAAUGCAAAGAUAAUGGAUUGGUUUGUAUGAGGGUUAAAACUUGUAGUCCAGUGAAAAGUGGAAUUAAAGGAUCUACAAACAUUUAAGCAAG
rnacentral:lncRNA from 1 species